rnacentral:lncRNA from 1 species
GAGAAUUUGAUUAGGAUGACAGUGAGAAUGCGACGCUUCAAGUUUUUAUUUCUAAAGUGACUUUUCAAGUAGGUAGAGCAUACAGUGAAUUUUUUUUGUUUGCAUUUAGAGCUCAAAUCAACCCUUAAAAGUUGCUGUCAGUGCAUACUGCUUUGUCUAGGGCAAAACAGUUGUGCCGCCUUCAUUUUCAGAAGUGCUUUGGUAGCGGCUUUUAAUUGCAAUAAGCAAAAAAUGGAGAGGUUUUAGAAGCAGACCCAGCUUGGAUCACUGCCUCUUUUGCUCUUUGCAUAGAAGGUACUUAGAGGUGCUUAAGAACUUGGAGCUUCUAGACAGACUGUUUCUGCAUUUCUGGUGAGAGUUUUCUAAUACGUCUGCUGCUCUUGUUGGGUAGUUGCAAUCUGAUUUUUAGCUUUCCUGUAUGUUUUAGUGAGAACAGUGUUAUCUUGUUAAAAUCUUCCUUCCCUCUUUUUGAUCUGAAACUGAGCUCAAAUAAUUUUGUCCAAAUUGAGUGUUUCAGGAUAGGACUGGAGAAAGGAAGGGGUAUUCUUUCCUCAGCCCUACCACUUCAAACUUACACCUGCUCCCUGUGCUUUCUGAGCCUGUGUUCUGAAGUGGAAGGGAAGACUUCAACCAGGAAUCACCAGAUCCGUCUGCAGAAUGGAAAUACUCUGUUUACCUGAGCAGAUAUCACCAACUCAUUGUCUCACAUGAUCUGAUGGAAGUAACCAGUAAAACUCAAAGUAAUUGUCCUCAAAUUCUAUAUAUGCAUUUGGAGCUUGCUGCUGCUGCUAUUCCAGAAGGUAUUUUGUGUCCUUCUUUCCAGUCUGUUAAUCAAAUGGAUAACAGAUUCUCCAAAUCUCCUCAUUCUUGAGAGCCAGUCCUUGGAGCUUGCAUAGGUUGGGAUGUGGGAGCAGACAGCAAUGUGGAGGGCUGUGGCAAACUGAGCUGUACCCAUCUUUACCUGGGCUGUCUGCUGUGACCUUGUGUCUGGCACUGGGAGGUUUCAGUAGUCUGUGGAGUCCUUAGACAGAGC